GGGAGGAGGGGCAUGGGGGAUGCUGCAGCUGAACAUGCAAUGAAGGAAAAGGAGAGGGAGAAAGACACCAGGAUACAGAUUCUAGAGAAAACUGUGGAGAGGCAGAGAGAGGAGUUGAAGAAAGAGAAGGAUGACCAUAAGACAGAGAAGGCAAAGCAUUUGAAUCAGGUGUAUAGUGGAGUCUUUCAAGUCUGUGAAUCAGUAUUUUAAUUAGGAGAAAGCCAAGCUGGUAUAGUAGAUGAUGGGCUCGAGAAGCAUAAACAUGCCCUUAAGAGGCUGUCCGAAGAAGUUGAUAAGCUCAAGCAUGCUAAAGGCAGUCAGUCUUCCAG